AUUGAACGCUGGCGGCAUGCUUUACACAUGCAAGUCGGACGGCAGCACAGAGAAGCUUGCUUCUUGGGUGGCGAGUGGCGAACGGGUGAGUAAUAUAUCGGAACGUACCGAGUAAUGGGGGAUAACUAAUCGAAAGAUUAGCUAAUACCACAUAUUCUCUGAGGAGGAAAGCAGGGGACCUUCGGGCCUUGCGUUAUUCGAGCGGCCGAUAUCUGAUUAGCUAGUUGGUGGGGUAAAGGCCUACCAAGGCGACGAUCAGUAGCGGGUCUGAGAGGAUGAUCCGCCACACUGGGACUGAGACACGGCCCAGACUCCUACGGGAGGCAGCAGUGGGGAAUUUUGGACAAUGGGCGCAAGCCUGAUCCAGCCAUGCCGCGUGUCUGAAGAAGGCCUUCGGGUUGUAAAGGACUUUUGUCAGGGAAGAAAAGGCUGUUGCUAAUACCGACAGCUGAUGACGGUACCUGAAGAAUAAGCACCGGCUAACUACGUG
rnacentral:rRNA from 1 species